AAGACCUAAAUGUAAGGCCAGGAACUAUCAAACUCUUAGAGGAAAACAUAGGCAGAACACUCUAUGACAUAAAUCACAGCAAGAUCCUUUUUGACCCACCUCCUAGAGAAAUGGAAAUAAAAACGAAAAUAAACAAAUGGGACCUAAUAAAACUUCAAAGCUUUUGCACAGCAAAGGAAACCAUAAACAAGACCAAAAGACAACCCUCAGAAUGGGAGAAAAUAUUUGCAAAUGAAGCAACCGACAAAGGAUUAAUCUCCAAAAUUUACAAGCAGCUCAUGCAGCUCAAUAACAAAAAAACAAACAACCCAGUCGAAAAAUGGGCAGAAGACCUAAAUAGACAUUUCUCCAAAGAAGAUAUACAGACUGCCAACAAACACAUGAAAGAAUGCUCAACAUCAUUAAUCAUUAGAGAAAUGCAAAUCAAAACUACAAUGAGAUAUCAUCUCACACCAGUCAGAAUGGCCAUCAUCAAAAAAUCUAGAAACAAUAAAUGCUGGAGAGGGUGUGGAGAAAAGAGAACACUCUUGCACUGCUGGUGGGAAUGUGAAUUGGUUCAGCCACUAUGGAGAACAGUAUGGAGGUUCCUUAAAAAACUACAAAUGGAACUACCAUAUGACCCAGCAAUCCCACUACUGGGCAUAUACCCUGAGAAAACCGAAAUUCAAAAAGAGUCAUGUACCAAAAUGUUCAUUGCAGCUCUAUUUACAAAAGCCCGGAGAUGGAAACAACCUAAGUGCCCAUCAUCGGAUGAAUGGAUAAAGAAGAUGUGGCACAUAUAUACAAUGGAAUAUUACUCAGCCAUAAAAAGAAACGAAAUUGAGCUAUUUGUAAUGAGGUGGACAGACCUAGAGUCUGUCAUACAGAGUGAAGUAAGUCAGAAAGAGAAAGACAAAUACCGUAUGCUAACACAUAUAUAUGGAAUAUAAAAAAAAAUGUCAUGAAGAACCUAGGGCUAAGACAGGAAUAAAAACACAGACCUACUGGAGAAUGGACUUGAGGAUAUGGGGAGGGGGAAUGGUGAGCUGUGACAAAGCGAGAGAGAGGCAUGGACAUAUAUACACUACCAAAUGUAAGGUAGAUAGCUAGUGGGAAGCAGCCGCAUAGCACAGGGAGAUCAGCUCGGUGCUUUGUGAUCACCUGGAGGGGUGGGAUAGGGAAGGUGGGAGGGAGGGAGACGCAAGAGGGAAGAGAUAUGGGA